rnacentral:rRNA from 1 species
AGGACGAACGCUGGCGGCGCGCUUAACACAUGCAAGUCGAGCGAGAACCAUGGCUUCGGCCAUGGGGACAGCGGCGAACGGGUGAGUAACACGUGGGUAAUCUGCCCUCGACACUGGGAUAGCCCGGGGAAACCCGGAUUAAUACCGGAUAGCCUCUCGAGCUCUCGGGCUCGUGAGAAAAGAUGGCUUCGGCUUUCGGUUGAGGAGGAGCCUGCGGCGGAUUAGCUUGUUGGUGAGGUAACGGCCACCAAGGCGACGAUCCGUAGCUGGUCUGAGAGGACGAUCAGCCACACUGGGACUGAGACACGGCCCAGACUCCUACGGGAGGCAGCAGUGGGGAAUCUUGCGCAAUGGGCGAAAGCCUGACGCAGCGACGCCGCGUGAGGGAAGAAGGCCUUGGUUGUAAACCUCUUUCGAGGAGGGACGAAGACUACUACGGGUUAAUAGCCCGAGAGGUGACGGUACCUCCAGAAGAAGACCCGCUAACUACAU